rnacentral:rRNA from 1 species
AGUGAACGCUGGCGUGCCUAAUACAUGCAAGUCGAACGAUGAAGUCUCUAGCUUGCUAGAGAUGGAUUAGUGGCGCACGGGUGAGUAAUGCAUAGAUAACAUGCCCUUUAGUCUAGGAUAGCCACUGGAAACGGUGAUUAAUACUGGAUACUUCUUACGAGAGAAAGGGUCUCCGCUAAAGGAUUGGUCUAUGUCCUAUCAGCUUGUUGGUGAGGUAAUGGCUCACCAAGGCUAUGACGGGUAUCCGGCCUGAGAGGGUGAACGGACACACUGGAACUGAGACACGGUCCAGACUCCUACGGGAGGCAGCAGUAGGGAAUAWUGCUCAAUGGGGGAAACCCUGAAGCAGCAACGCCGCGUGGAGGAUGAAGGUUUUAGGAUUGUAAACUCCUUUUGUUAGAGAAGAUUAUGACGGUAUCUAACGAAUAAGCACCGGCUAACUCCGUGCCAGCAGCCGCGGUAAUACGGAGGGUGCAAGCGUUACUCGGAAUCACUGGGCGUAAAGAGUGCGCAGGCGGGAUAGCAAGUCAGAUGUGAAAUGCUAUGGCUUAACCAUAGAACUGCAUUUGAAACUGCUAUUCUAGAGUGUGGGAGAGGUAGGUGGAAUUCUUGGUGUAGGGGUAAAAUCCGUAGAGAUCAAGAGGAAUACUCAUUGCGAAGGCGACCUACUGGAACAUUACUGACGCUCAUGCACGAAAGCGUGGGGAGCAAACAGGAUUAGAUACCCUGGUAGUCCACGCCCUAAACGAUGAAUGCUAGUUGUUGCCCUGCUCGUCAGGGCAGUAAUGCAGCUAACGCAUUAAGCAUUCCGCCUGGGGAGUACGGUCGCAAGAUUAAAACUCAAAGGAAUAGACGGGGACCCGCACAAGCGGUGGAGCAUGUGGUUUAAUUCGAAGCUACGCGAAGAACCUUACCUAGGCUUGACAUUGAUAGAAUCUGCUAGAGAUAGCGGAGUGCUGGCUUGCCAGAGCUUGAAAACAGGUGCUGCACGGCUGUCGUCAGCUCGUGUCGUGAGAUGUUGGGUUAAGUCCCGCAACGAGCGCAACCCUCGUCCUUAGUUGUUAGCAGUUCGGCUGAGCACUCUAAGGAGACUGCCUUCGCAAGGAGGAGGAAGGUGAGGACGACGUCAAGUCAUCAUGGCCCUUACGCCUAGGGCUACACACGUGCUACAAUGGGGUGCACAAAGAGAAGCAAUAUCGCGAGAUGGAGCAAAUCUCCAAAACGCCUCUCAGUUCGGAUUGUAGUCUGCAACUCGACUACAUAAAGCUGGAAUCGCUAGUAAUCGCAAAUCAGCAAUGUUGCGGUGAAUACGUUCCCGGGUCUU